UCUUGUAAAGAAACGUCUUGUGCUCUCUGU
rnacentral:piRNA from 1 species